CACUUCCCUGGAGCACACACAUACAGGUAGAGGUUUUAGAGGGGGUUAUCACAAACAUACAGGGAGAGGUUUUAGAGGGGGUUAUCACACACAGGUUUUAGAGGGGGUCAUCACACACACAGGUAGAGGUUUUAGAGGGGGUCAUCACACACAGGUUUUAGAGGGGGUCAUCACACACACACAUACAGGUAGAGAUUUUAGAGGGGGUUAUCACACACAUACAGGGAGGUUUUAGAGGGGAUCAUCACACACACACAGGUAGAGGUUUUAGAGGGGGUAAUCAUACACACAGAGGUAGGUUUUAGAGGGGGUCAUCACACACACACACAAACAGGUAGAGGUUUAAAAGGGGGUUAUCACACACAUACAGGUAGAGGUUAUAGAGGGG